rnacentral:rRNA from 1 species
AUGAGGACUAUGUGCUGGAACUGUCGAGGAAUUGGCGACCCUGCGAUAGUUCGUGAGCUCUGCGAUCUUGUGGAGGCUAGUGCGCCGUCGGUGCUGUGUAUUGUUGAAACCCAACCGGCAAAGUACCGAGUGGAAGGUUUGGCGAGUAGGUUAGGUUUUAGUAGUAGUUUUGGAGUAGGUAGUAGUGGAAGAAGUGGGGGUUUGUGCUUGUAUUGGAAGAAUAAUAUCAAUCUUGAAAUAAAAACUUUUUCUUAG